AGCAGUCGCCGCGGUAAUACAGAGGGUGCAAGCGUUAAUCGGAAUUACUGGGCGUAAAGCGCGCGUAGGUGGUUUGUUAAGUUGGAUGUGAAAUCCCCGGGCUCAACCUGGGAACUGCAUCCAAAACUGGCAAGCUAGAGUAUGGUAGAGGGUGGUGGAAUUUCCUGUGUAGCGGUGAAAUGCGUAGAUAUAGGAAGGAACACCAGUGGCGAAGGCGACCACCUGGACUGAUACUGACACUGAGGUGCGAAAGCGUGGGGAGCAAACAGGAUUAGAUACCCCCGUAGUCCCUGUCUCUUAUAA
rnacentral:rRNA from 1 species